UGUGUGGUGCCUGCUUAAGAUUCUUUCUCUCCCUCUGACCCUCUCCCCUGCUCACUCUCUGUCUCUGAAAAAAAAAAAAAAAGAUUUAGAAGGGCAGGGUAGUUGCCCUUACUCUCUUGAAGCUCCUAACUUCUUUGUGAUUCUAAAUCUAUUUCAUGUUUCUUGACAAUCUACAUGGACUAAGUCUUUUAUUAACAUCCUGAUGCCACAUGCCACCAGAGGGAAGUCCUGGAAUUUCUUUGAGGGAGUCACACUAGAAAAAAUAACUCCUCUCAAGAGGGCACAAAUCUGAUACCCUUUCCCCGGUCUCCAACUGCACCCUCAGAGUUGUGAGCUGUGGCUAAGCGUCUCUGCCUGGUCAGAGAAUGGGUGUCAUCUGUGGAUCUCAAGCACCCAGACCCAUAUUUAAACUCCCUGGGGAGCUGGGGGUAAGAGAGACAUGGAUAACAUUUGCAGGGGAGACUGCUGGCUGAAUAUUCACAAGCCAGGUGCAGUGCAGCUGUAGAUGGCCAUGCACUUGUCACCCCAAGUGAAACGGGUCUCCGACCCAGACCAUUGACCAUGGGGAGAGAGGCAGGCUGGUCUCUUCAACUGUUAGGGCUAGAAUGUGCUCUCUUGGGGGAAUCUCUGAGUUGGAAAGGACCGUCUGUCUGCACACCCACUGUGCUCCUAGAACAAGAGUGUUGUGGGGAUGGCGGGCGGGGGGUGGGGUGGUUGCUGGUCUUCUUCUGAACCAUAUGCCCUCAAGAACUCCAUGCUCUCAGAGAAGACUUUCUGGAUAUGAGAAGCAAAUGACCCAGGGACUGGGGAAAAUGGAAGCUGCAGAACUGAGAAAAGCUGAGUCAGCUCUGAAAUAGUUCACAGGCUCAUCCAGGCUUUUGUCUUUCGUGAGAUCUCUCCAAACUGGCUGUUAGGACCCCAUGGGAGAGGCUGAGGAAUCUCAGGCCUGGCUGAUUCACAGCUAACCUCUCUUUCCAGCUGUACUUCCUGAAAGACAGCGUUCAGCUGCAGGCCUCCAGCAUUUCUGUCCACCCCCUCUGCAGAGAUCAGUCUUGAUGUGCAUCCCUCCCCAAUCCUAACUAUCCCCAGCCUAAGACAUUCUGGGCCAGAGGGCUAAGGCCAUGAGUCUGGCUGGUCACGCAAGUUUUGCUCAGGCCUUUGCCACUCCCUAGACUGGUUGCCACCGGGUCCUCCAGCCAGAGACGGCGAGACAAGUAGACUCUCCUUGGGGUGUCACCAGACACCAGGAGGGCUGGGCCACUCACAGUCCUUAAAAAUACCAAAGUCUAGGUAAACCCUGGCUCCUUUAGGAAUAAAACAACGUGGGUGUAGGUGUCUGGAUGAACACACUGCCACGGAAUGGAGAGGAAUCAACCACUCAGCUUAGGUAUCCCAGGCAGAGUUGAGGUUACUGAAGGCAAAGGGAGGCCAGGGGCAAAUCAAUAUCACGGCUUCCCAGCAGAGCCGGGUCAGCACAACAUCUGGGCUGCUUAUUUUGGUCUAGUGCCUCGGUUUUGUUUCCUCAAGAGAAAAUAAAAUCAACACCAGCAGGCUAAGGGUUCACAUGCCAUUUUGUGGUGCAAACCCCAGAGGAAGGAAUGUGGAGCCUUUGGGGGGCAAGAAUGCUAAGGUGGCCAAAGGGCUCUUGGUCCUGCUUUGACAGCGAGGACUACUUCCCCUUCCGGAAAGCAGCUCCAGAGGCAGCUUCAUUCCUGUGAUACUGCACAAGUGGUUCUCAUGCUGGCAACUCUCCGGCUGGGGCAAACACAGACCUGCAUGCAAUAACCAGGAAUAGAAAUCCACAAGGCUUGGAACCUCGAGGCCUGAAACGUUCAGAUGACACCGUCACCUUCCAGGAAAUUGCCUCACGCUCUGCUUCUGAGUUCCACAUUGUGACUUAUAUAUCCUCUUGGGUGCUGGCUCCCCACUGAUGCACAGGGAGGAUAGGGCAGAGGAAGUGAAAGCCUCGCCCUGCAGAAAGCAGCUCAUUUCUAACCUGGUGCCUGCUCAGCUGGAAUCUGAUUCUCAGAAACAUGCUUUGCUGUCCAUACAGAGAAGACCAUCCAUUCAAUUUCUCAGAAGAAGAAGCAAAGGCUAGUUGGGGGCACCCUGCCACACCCCUUUUGAGGAGGUCAGUAGGACUAGUUUUUUUCCCCAGUAUAUUUACUAUUAAAGUAAAAAAACCCA